GACGAACGCUGGCGGCGUGCUUAACACAUGCAAGUCGAACGGAAAGGCCCUGCUUUUGUGGGGUGCUCGAGUGGCGAACGGGUGAGUAACACGUGAGUAACCUGCCCUUGACUUUGGGAUAACUUCAGGAAACUGGGGCUAAUACCGGAUAUGAUCUCCUGCUGCAUUGUGGGGGUUGGAAAGUUUCGGCGGUUGGGGCUGGACUCGCGGCUUAUCAGCUUGUUUGUGGGGUAGUGGCUUACCAAGGCUUUGACGGGUAGCCGGCCUGGGAGGGUGACCGGCCACAUUGGGACUGAGAUACGGACCAGACGCCUACGGGAGGCAGCAGUGGGGAAUAUUGCACAAUGGGCGGAAGCCUGAGGCAGCAACGCCGCGUGCGGGAUGACGGCCUUCGGGUUGUAAACCGCUUUCGCCGGUGACGAAGAGUGAGUGACGGUAAUGGGUAAAGAAGCAACGGCUAACUACGUG
rnacentral:rRNA from 1 species